GACGAACGCUGGCGGCGUGCCUAAUACAUGCAAGUAGAACGCUGAAGGAGGAGCUUGCUUCUCUGGAUGAGUUGCGAACGGGUGAGUAACGCGUAGGUAACCUGCCUGGUAGCGGGGGAUAACUAUUGGAAACGAUAGCUAAUACCGCAUAAGAGUAGAUGUUGCAUGACAUUUGCUUAAAAGGUGCAAUUGCAUCACUACCAGAUGGACCUGUGUUGUAUUAGCUAGUUGGUGGGGUAACGGCUCACCAAGGCGACGAUACAUAGCCGACCUGAGAGGGUGAUCGGCCACACUGGGACUGAGACACGGCCCAGACUCCUACGGGAGGCAGCAGUAGGGAAUCUUCGGCAAUGGACGGAAGUCUGACCGAGCAACGCCGCGUGAGUGAAGAAGGUUUUCGGAUCGUAAAGAUCUGUUGUAAGAGAAGAACGAGUGUGAGAGUGGAAAGUUCACACUGUGACGGUAUCUUACCAGAAAAGGACGGCUAACUACGUG
rnacentral:rRNA from 1 species